rnacentral:tRNA from 1 species
UUAAUUGAAACCAAAAUUAGAGGUAUAUUAAUGUUAAUAAUAUAAAUGAAUUUAAAUAUUCCAAUUAAG